AUUUAAGCUUAAGAUGGUUAACAAAAGAGCUGCUGUAAUGGAAUUGUCAGGUGGUGUAUAGAAUAUUUGAGGAAAAUUAAAAAAAUUUGGGAGGAAGAAAGAUCCAUAUAUUAUUUAGCCGAAACAUGAUAUGAUACAUUUAUGAUUGAUGUAUGAUUUCCAUUCUCUGGGAAAAAAGUCUCUUUUUUGCCAUACUUACUGCCCCUGUUGUCCUUCAGUGAUACAAUAAAGACUGCUUCUUCCACCAUUCUCUGGGAAAAACCCUGUUUUGCUAUGCUUACUACCCCUGUUGUCCUUCAGCAACACAAUAAAGACUGCUUCUUCCUCCAUUCUCUGGAAAAAAGUCCCUUUUUU
rnacentral:lncRNA from 1 species